GGCGUAGCGGUCGCGCAUCGAGGUACAGCGUGCUAUGGCCGCUAGCGGUCGCGCAUCGAGGUACAGCGUGCUAUGGCCGUUAGCGGUCGCGCAUCGAGGUACAGCGUGAUAUGGCCGUUAGCGGUCGCGCAUCGAGGUACAGCGUGNUAUGGCCGNUAGYGGUCGCSCAUCGAGGUACAGCGUGMUAUGGCCGNUAGCNGUCSCGCAUNCKAGGUACAGCGUGGUAUGGCCGUUUAAGGUCCAAACCCGCGGUACCCCGAGGUGGGGCCGCUUAAGGCCCAUACCCGGCGGACCCUGGAGGGUGGACGGUUAUAGGCGCCAUACACAGGUGUGUACACGAUAUGUGAGACG
rnacentral:rRNA from 1 species